CGUCGGCGUAGAGCAGCUCAGUAGCGCACCAGCCUCAUAGCUGGAGGUCGCACGUUCGAGUGUUGUGGUCGCGA
rnacentral:tRNA from 1 species